rnacentral:lncRNA from 1 species
AAGCGCCUUACUUACUCUUCUCUCUCUCUCUCUCUCUGAUCAAGGUCUCCAAACUUCCAUUGAGUGAAGCCAUAUUCUUUCAACUCCACCUCAGAAGGAAGAUGAAAUAUGGCUCCAUGAUUUCGGUGGUUGCCUUGUUCAGAAGCUUCUCAGUCACGUUCGUGCAAGGAAAUUUUAGGAAUUCACUCAUCUUUUCUGGGCCACAUCGAGCAUUUAGUUGCUCAGGUGGGCCAUACAUGGCUUGGGUCUAGACUGAGCUUGUUCCUCGAGGCCCAGACCAAGCCGAAGCCCAAUUGGAGACCACGCAUCAUGGCUUCGAAUUUGUCACAACUCAUCCUCAACAUGCAUGUGGUUGCCCUGGCCUUUUAGCUGCCCUCUCACUGUAGCCAUGUUCAUGAGAAAACUAAUAAGUUAAUUAUCAUGUUUUAGCUGAAAUUCAAGAUUAUGAUUCGUUCACAUCAUGAGAAAAUUUGUUAGCUUCAUUGGUUUAUUUUAUUUUAUUUUAAUUUAUUUUAUUUUAUUUUAGGCCAUAGUUGAUAGUUCAGUGUAUGGCAAUAAAUCAAAAUGCUUAUGUCUUUGCCCCCAAGAAAAAAAAGAGCCAUGGAAACCUGCAUACAUGGGACCAAUAGGACAGUAGAAGGAAUAAUGGGCAAGAGAGGGCAGUGAAAUCCAGAGUAGAGAAGAGUUGAAGCAGCAGAACCAUGUUUUAGGGAUAGGGCCUUAUCUUUAUUAUCCAACACCCAUACUGUCUGUUUCAUGUCCACCAUCCAAUUCCCACCAAGAAACACAUGCAGUGCCCACCUCGGCAGCUACCUUUCACAAUCCAUUAAUUGUCUGAACCUCCCCCGCACCCCACCCCGUCUUCUCAUCUCCAAACACGUGUUACUCCUCCCACAUUUUCUAGAUGCAGGAGAGGCCUUUUAUCAACUUCCAUCAUAAAUAUUCUGGCCCCUGUCUCUUGUAUAAGUUUACACCUUCCAUUAAACAAUAAUCGUAUAUAUCUUCAUAUAUAAGCUCCCUCACUCUCAAUAAUAUUCCAAUUUUUAGUAUAAAUACUAUUCCAGAUUCAUAACUAAGAAAGAAAACAGAAGAACAAAGCCUAGAAUACUUGAAUAUUAGACACCCAAAAGGACAAAAGAGCAAGGUCGUGGAGAACAGUGACUGCAUGCAGGUGUGCGUGAUGAGAGGGAGGAUUAGGGGACGUGAGGGGGGAGAUAUUGAUCAAGUUUUGGUAUAUAUAUUGAUGAGGGAUUGGAGGAGAAUGAAAGAAAUUUUAUCUCCAACGUCCAAACCUAAUCUGCAAGGGUAGAAGCUGUGGUUUACUGGGCUUUCACUUUCAUUAUCCGGUCACAGGUGAUAUAAAGCUACUCAACUCCAUAGUCUGGUGCAGACCCAAUGUCAACUGCUACGAUAAACAGUUGGUGUCUCACCUCUCUCUCCCAAGCCCAAUCCCCACAAAACAAAGCUACAUUACGCCCUUCCAUAUCCGCCCGCCUUAACUCUCCUGCUUCUCCUGCUCCACCCAACCUCAUCCAAAACAAGCCCGUAUUUGCUGCUCCUGCUCCUAUCAUCACUCCCACUUGGGUACCGUUCUCUCUCUCCCUUUUUCCUAUGUUUUCUUUUUUUUUAAAAAAAAAGUAAAAAAAAAAUUAACAGCUCUGUCCAUUUGCUGUCUAUGGUUUUGAAUUGUGAUAAUGAUGAUGCUAAAGACAAGUUGGGUUUGAUACAAUGAAGCUAAGGUCUUAGUCCUGAUAAUGUGGACAGUGAAGCAAGAAUAGUGUGAGAGAGAAGGUGGAGAGUAGUGUAGAAACUCAUGAAAUUUGACAUGCAUCUCGUGGUAGUGUUUCUGUUUCUUUUGUUUUCAUUGUUCUUUUUCCUUUUUCUUCUUGAAUAGGGUAAAGUUGAGAAGAAGCAUGAGAAGAGGGGAUUUUAACUUAAAAGCCAUAGCAAAUAUGAAACCCAUGAUGGAAGGGCAAACCCAAAAAAGAAAGGAAAAGAACACUUUCUUUGAAUUGUUUAUUGCCAUACGACCAUGCUGUUUCAGUGGGUUGAAGCUUGAAAUAGAUAAUAAAUUUAUGUUUUUUUCUGAAAGAAACAGGACCAGAUGGUCUAAAACUCAACGAUUUAUCAGAUUUUUUUCUCUCUCUCUUCUUGGUGUCCUAAUCAUUCUAUUUAUUGAGGAAAGUCAUGGUGCCAAGUGUAAGGUGUAGAGUUGUUUUUGUAACAUCCAAAUUGUGCUAGUCCACGUAGCAAGAAAGCCAGAAAGAAGGUUAAACAAACAAAUUAAAUGUGGGCGUAAAGGGGCCCAUUCUUAGGAGGAAUCUGAGGAGAAGAUUCUUCAGAGGAUAGUCCACUUAUAUGCAAUUUUGUUGCUCUGCAUUUGAACACUUCUGCAAGACCCUAUUCCAAUUUCUCAGAUUCAGGUGUGAAAAUCUCAGCUCAUUAAUCUCUUCUUCAGUUUCUUUUUUGCAAAUUUCUCUCACAAUAAUCAGGAAUUCCGGACAAAAUCUCAGUUAGAACUGAAUCAUUCUAUUUAGCUACUUAUUUUCUUCAGAGGAUUCUCUUUAGACUUUUGGUAUAUACUAUAUAGUUUACAACCAUCCCCAUCCCUUUCUAUGUACAAGUGCUAAUUAAUAGGCAAUGGAAAGUGGGGUUUGUUUAUGGUUGAUUAAUAUUUGGUGGGGUGUAAUCCUUUUGUGGGAAUUUGCAGAGAGAAGAUAUGGGAAACGGCUCCUACGACGAGGCUGUGGAAGGUCUCAGGAAGCUUCUCCGGUACACACUCGAUCUCAUCCAUACAGUUGUUUUGCAAUUUGUCCCUGGUCACUGCUCUUCACUCAUCUCCAAAUAUUCUUCGUGUCACUGAUAAAAGAAAACCCAGUCCCUUUGUCUUCUCUUCUAUGCUUUUGUCUACCCCAGCAACGAUCAUUUUCAUGCAAAUUCUCAAAUUUUGUACAAAAUAGAUAGUUAUGAGAAAAUCUAUACCAAUUAAACUAACUAGUUUUGGUGAUUUGGGUUGCAGUGAGAAGGCAAACCUGGAACCUGUAGCAGCUGCAAAAAUUGACCAGAUAACAGCCCAAUUGAAAUCUAGUGAUGGUUCAUCAUCACCAUUUGAUCCAGUUGAGAGGAUGAAAACAGGCUUCAUUUAUUUUAAAAAAGAGAAAUAUGAGUAUGAAAUUUCUUUUCUAUCUUACCUUUUUCAGCGACAUAAUCCUCUAUCAAUUGGUUUAUACUUUCUAGUAUUCAUUUAUUAAUUUUCUUUUGCAGUAAGAACCCAGCUUUGCACGCUGAGCUCGCCAAAGGCCAGAGCCCCAAGGUACUCAAGUGUUCAUUUAUUUUUAAGUGAAUAGGCUAUGGAUGUCAUGAGGGUGCAUAUUACUUUGAAUGAGACUAUCCCACUUACUUAGGAGCUGUUUGCUAAUGUUUAACAAAAUUAUGUUUGAAAACUCGAUAUUAAAAACAGUUUUCUCAACCUAUUAUUUGUGAAGAUAGUUUUCAAACAGACCCUUAAUUUCUACAUUUACGCGUUUCAGGAUGAGUAGAAAAAUUUACAAAAUGACAGUUGACUAGUUAAUUAACUACAAAUUUAUGUUGCAGUUCAUGGUGUUCGCAUGCUCGGACUCUCGGGUUUGCCCAUCACAUGUGCUGGACUUCCAACCAGGGGAUGCUUUUGUGGUCCGGAACGUUGCCAACAUGGUCCCAGCAUAUGAUAAGGUUCCCCAUAAUGGGCUAAUGUUUGAACCAAUACUUAAAAAUUUACAUUUUUCUAGCUAGUAUGCUCAACUGAUUUGCAGUACUAACGUUUGUUGUGUUUUAUUCUUCCUACAAUAGAUCAGGUACUCUGGAGUUGGGUCUGCCGUUGAAUAUGCAGUUUUGCAUCUGAAGGUGAAGCCCAUUCACCCUUUUCUUUCUAUGUAUUUCAAUACUUACUAGAACAUCAAUAGGUAACAAAAUUGAUGAAUUGUUAUGCAACAUAGCUAUCAAAAUGUUGCUCAGUAAUGGGGUAGUGUCUUUGUUGAAUUCAAAUUAAAAGUGCUGAUUUUCCACAGGUGGAGCACAUAGUGGUCAUUGGUCACAGCAGCUGUGGUGGAAUCAAGGGGCUCAUGUCAUUUCCCUUUGAUGGAACAAGCUCUACGUAAGGCCUUAUCAUCACACAACUCAAUUACUUUUUCAAUGCUAAUUUGAAGUAUCAUAGUAGAUUAGAGAGGCUAAGCAAUUUUAUGUCACCCAAUGCUUGAUCUCAUAUGGUAAUAGCCGAGAGAAUGAGCUGAAUAUGGGGAUGGGACUUCUUCUAGCUCUGUUUAAUUCAACACUUGGGUAUGGUAAAUUUGGUCAUUGACAUAGAAUUGCCUGCAGUUUUGGCACCAUCUGGAAACAUGGACCAUGAAAUUGACCAAAAAUAUUAGUAAUGCCCAUAUGCUUUUAGCUAAGAGGAAAAUGUUAUGUUUUACACCUAGCUCUCUUCUUUACUACACAUGUUUGAUCAUCUUCUUAUGUAGCUGGCAUUUUUCAUGAAAAAUGCAAAGAUUUAAAGACUAAUUAAGCACUUAAUGGGACUUAAAAGGAGUAAGAAGUGAAUAAUAUUGAUGUUCUAAUAAUUAUUUCCUGUUUUCUUGAUUGAGAAAUGCAGUGACUUCAUAGAAGACUGGGUGAAAAUCGGUUUGCCUGCCAAGUCCAAGGUGGUAGCAGAGUGUGGUGAUCUGCCUUUCCCAGAACAAUGUGCAUAUUGUGAAAAGGUAAAGCCCUCGGCUUCCUCAGCUUAAUUGUCAAUGAAAAUGAGACUCAGCACUGAUGCUGAACUCUUUAGCCUAUAGAAGUUAUAGGUCAAAUUCCACAAUAGGAUUAGGACUUCCUCCAUGGAAUUGUUUCAAAGGAAAGUCCCAGACUGAGUCCUGUACGUAGAUUUUUGUGGAGGAUGCCCUGAAAAAGCAUUAUUCCAUCUCUUAGGAAUGUUUCCAUGAACGAUUUAAAAGAGAAUAAUGCUGUGAUUCUAACCAUCUAUUUGUAAAAUGUGAUGCAGGAGGCAGUGAAUGUCUCACUUGGAAACCUGCUAAGUUAUCCAUUUGUGAGAGAAGGCUUGGUGAAGAAAACUCUAACAUUGAAGGGUGGUUACUAUGAUUUUGUUAAAGGGACUUUUGAGCUGUGGGGGCUUGACUUUGGCCUUUCUCCAUCUUUCUCCGUAUGAACACCAUCCAUUAUCAGUGACCCCGUCUUUGUUCUUUUCCUUCCUUUCUGAGAAGUGUGUAUGUUGUAUUUGCCUACGAUGAUAAUAAAUAUAACCGAGAUCAUCUGUGGAUCCUUUAAUUAUAAGCAAAAUACAUCUAAUCAACUUUUUUCACUACUGCAUUUUCCUCUUUUUCUUUGCUAGGUA